UACGAAGGGGGCUAGCGUUGUUCGGAAUUACUGGGCGUAAAGGGUGCGUAGGUGGUUAUGAAAGUCAGAAGUGAAAGCCCUGGGCUCAACCCGGGAACUGCUUUUGAAACUUCAUAGCUAGAGUUCGAGAGAGGUAAGUGGAAUAUCCAGUGUAGAGGUAAAAUUCGUAGAUAUUGGAUGGAACACCAGUGGCGAAGGCGGCUUACUGGCUCGAUACUGACACUGAGGCACGAAAGCGUGGGGAGCAAACAGG
rnacentral:rRNA from 1 species